rnacentral:misc_RNA from 1 species
UCCGGUUUGUCACCGGCAGUCUCGCAUGAGUCCCCGGCCGAACCGCUGGCAACAUGCGACGGGGGUUGCGCUCGUUGCGGGACUUAACCCAACAUCUCACGACACGAGCUGACGACAGCCAUGCAGCACCUGUGUUCCGUCCGGCCGAACCGAAGGACCCCCUCUCAGGGGCCCGCGACGGACAUGUCAAGGGCUGGUAAGGUUCUGCGCGUUGCGUCGAAUUAAGCCACAUACUCCACCGCUUGUGCAGGCCCCCGUCAAUUUCUUUGAGUUUUAAUCUUGCGACCGUACUUCCCAGGCGGCGUAUUUAACGCGUUGGCUACGCCACAAAAGGGGUCGAUUCCUCCUACAGCAAAUGCGCACCGUUUAGGGCUAGGACUAC